UACGUAGGGUGCGAGCGUUGCCCGGAUUUAUUGGGCGUAAAGGGCGCGUAGGCGGCUCGGCACGUCCGUUGUGAAAUCGCCCGGCUCAACUGGGCGGGGUCGGCGGAUACGGCCGAGCUGGAGCAAGCUAGGGGGUAAUGGAAUUCCCGGUGUAGUGGUGGAAUGCGUAAAUAUCGGGAGGAACACCAGUGGCGAAGGCGGUUACCUGGAGCUUUGCUGACGCUGAUGCGCGAAAGCGUGGGGAGCGAUCCGG
rnacentral:rRNA from 1 species